CAGGUACAGAGGGAUGCUACCGGGCGACCGGAUGCGGAUCUCGAAAGCCUGUCCCAGUUCGGACUGGAGUCUGCAACCCGACUCCACGAAGUUGGAUUCGCUAGUAAUCGCGCAUCAGCCAUGGCGCGGUGAAUACGUUCCCGGGCCUUGUACACACCGCCCGUCAAGCCAUGGGAGCCGGGGGUGCUUGAAGUGCGUCGCCGCAAGGCGCGCCCUAGAGCAAAACCGGUGACUGGGGCUAAGUCGUAACAAGGUAAC
rnacentral:rRNA from 1 species